UCCCAUCUUUUCUGUAUGUUUUGUCCCCCCUCUAUCAGAAAAAGCAAAGAAAAUUUGAAAACUUCUCUCUUCUUUCUCCCUAUCCCGUGAGCUCUCUCUCCCUCUGCAACUCCAUGAGCAAGCUCCAAAACUCAUAGAUCGAACAAACAAACUACAUCAUCAUGCUCAUCUCAGCCCCACGAUCACGACCAUACCCCUGGUUCGCGUGUUGACCGAGUUUUGAACGUCCAACUCGGAAGGUUCGACUCGGUGAGUUCGAUACUACGGUUUUCAAGCCAUGCAUGGCUAAGA
rnacentral:lncRNA from 1 species